GCUGUGGCUCAAGAGGUAGAGUGCUAGCCUUGAGCAUAAAAGCUUAGGGCUAGUGCACAGGCUCUGGGUUCAAGUCCCAGAACCAGCA
rnacentral:tRNA from 1 species